UGUUACUCUCUUCUUCCAUUCCAUUAAGUUUUUGUGAUUCCAGUUAUGAGUUUAGCUUGAAUCGAUUGGAUGAACAGGAACUAGUUCGAAGCACCGGGGAAAUUUCCGAUCGAGAUCGAACUAGUUUCUUUGGAAGAUUCUUUUCGGUGAAGGCUAAAUCGGCGGACGUUCUUAUAUCUUCCUCAACACGCUCCUAUGGUGCUUAUUGCUUGUGAAGUGCUACGCAGUUCUCGUUUUUGUGUAGCAAAGGAAAAUUGCAAUCAACAUAAGGUACGAUCAAGAUCAAAAGAUUUGUACAUUGGUGUGGUGCUAAAUUACUGACACUCAUAAGUUCAAUUUGAUAUCGAAGGUGUGAAUAAAGAUUUUUUUGGGUAAUGUAACAGAGGAUGAGACUCUGUGAUCCUUCGAAGAUAUCUCUAAAAUUUUGAAAUUCUUUAGGUAUGAGCUUAUUAGGGGAGAAGAAGGGGCAUACGAUCGCCAACCAUGACCAUUAGCUUCAACCAACUUAUAAGGGUUGGCUAGGCAUAGUUGACUCACGUAGGUUAGCUCACUACCUAAGGAUGAUUGGCUUGUGUGACUUUUACUAUGAAUCACGAACCUCUACAAUUGUAUGAUAUUAUCUCCUUUGAAUAUAUAA